rnacentral:rRNA from 1 species
GAACGACUCUCGGCAACGGAUAUCUCGGCUCUUGCAUCGAUGAAGAACGUAGAGAAAUGCGAUACUUGGUGUGAAUUGCAGAAUCCCGUGAACCAUCGAGUCUUUGAACACAAGUUGCACCCGAAGCCAUUAGGCCGAGGGCACGCCUGCCUGGGUGUCACAC